AUUGAACGCUAGCGGCAGGCCUAACACAUGCAAGUCGAACGAGUGGCGGACGAGUGCGUAAUGUAUGGGAAACUGCCUGAUGGAGGGGGAUCACUACUGGAAACGGUCGCUAAUACCGCAUACCAUCGGAUGUGCCCAGAGGGGAUUAGCUAGUAGGUGGGGGAAAGGCUAACCUAGGAGACGAGCCCUAGCUGGUCUGAGAGGAUGACCAGCGAAACUGGAACUGAGAGACGGUCCAGACUCCGACGGGAGGAAGCAGUGGGGAAUAGUGCACAAUGGGCGCAAUCCUGAUGCAGCCAUGCCGCGUGUAUGAAGAAGGCCUUCGGGUUGUAAAGUACUUUCAGCGGGGAGGCGUUACCCGAAGAAGAAGCACCGGCUAACUCCGUGCCAGCAGCCGCGGUAAUUC
rnacentral:rRNA from 1 species